CAUCUCCACGACCCUCCUUUGGACGCUUUCUAGUAGCUUAAUGUUGUUUUUAUACUGUGGCGCCCAAAACUGCACGCAAUAUUCAACGUGAGGCUGCCCCUGUGCAGAGCAGAGCGGGACCAUCCCCUCCCUCUCCUGGCUGGCCAUACUUUGCCUGAGGCACCCCGGGACACGGUUGGCAUCAGGCAAAGCAUCACCAGCGGAUCGAGGGAGGUGGUUGUCUCACUGUCAUCACCUCCAUCGCUCCGGAGGGUCACCCACUGUGUGACACCUCCAAGCCACCACCCCCAGCCUGCCUGCCUGCGUGUGGCUCUCAGAGAGGCCUCAGAAGGGAUCACAGGAGAUGCUGCAGCAGGAGGACAUGGGGUUCCUGGUGUGGCGUGUGACCCCACAAUAUGAGGGGACCACACUGAAGUGAAGAAAGCAUAUAAAUGUAAUGCAGAACAACUCCAAUACAGCUUACCUGGACCCAAUCUAUUGCAUCAAGCACAACUCUUUAAAAGUCUCCAAGGCCUUUUAAAAGUUAAUUAUACUGCAACACCGUGCCGCUUUGCCACUCCUCAGCCCUGCAGAGCAGUGUGAUCAUCAUACAGUUUUUGAAACCCACACUUUUUAUAGGAUAUUGAAAUACUGGAAAAGGUGCCUUAAAAAACUGCCAGAGGUGUUGAAAAAAAUGCUUAAAAUAGUUGCAAGGUCAAAUAUGUAAGUAGCUCAAACUUAGCAAAAGAAGAACACUAGGUGGUGACUUGGCCAUAUCACAUGAGUGCUUUUACAGAGAGGGAAGAAGAACAUGAAAAAGCUCUUAAAGGUAGUGAAGGAAGGUUUAACAAGAGCAAUGGAGGGAUUCAAAUACAUAAGACUCAGCUGUGAGUCCUACUGACCACUGGAACAAACUACCAACAGAGCAACUUCAUGCUGAAAUUUGGUGACUUUCAGGCAUAUACCAUUUAAAUGCAGAUUUUGCCUCAGUCACAGAAAAAUUUCGGAGCUCAAUAAAUAGAUUUUCGAUAUCUAUGUAUCUGUGGGAUACAAGGUAAAAUUUCAUGUACUGCCUCUAACCAAAAAAGCUCAACAUAAUUUGACUGUUUCAUACCUGAAAGGGCACCUACAAGAUGCUGAAAGACAGACUUUUCAAGCUGUUCACUGCUGAUACAUAUAAUGUGUCUGUGACUUCGGGGAUUUUAAUGACGCAGCACCCCUCAGGAGAUGUAUGUAAGGUAGAAAGUGAGGCAAUGAAAUUAUGCCAGAAAAAGUGUUUAAAAGACUAAAAUUACAGAAUUUUUUUCCUAUGAUCAUGCUCAUUUAAAGCACACAUUUUGGCUUUUAAAAACAUGUGAUUGCAUUGAGUCAGGCUUAUCCUUAAACAUUGAGCAGGCUCACAAAUCUGUUCUCAGGCCCUGCAUGGAGAGCAGAGUUGCCUUCUCAUAACUUAAUUUGUUGUAUCAUUUGGGUGUCUGCUUUUCAAAUUAGUUGAAAUACAGCAUUAAUAAGAAUAUAGGAGAGUCUGAGAUAGAAGAGUUAUGAGUAUCUGUUAGAGGGAGGGAAUGGCAGGGAAGGAAGGUGAAAUGGAUGUGAUGGGCAGAGGUUGUAGAAUUAUUAUUUAUGCAUUCUGUAGAUUUUUUUCUUUGCUUUUACUGAAUAUGUACACAUUCAAAGAACAUAAUGUUACAAGGGAAAAGAAUAAUUUGAAGGUACUUCCCCUUAACUUCACAAGCAUCAUUUAAAUAUAUAUAUAUAUUUAAUCCAGUCUAUGGACACUACUGAAUGAACAAAUUGAUCUCAUAAUCGUAUUUCUUAAUGGGAAAACCUAAUGAGGCACUUCCAUGUAAUUUAGACCUCUAAAAUAUGAUGUGGUAAAGCCUAAGAUCGGUAGCUAAAAGAUGCAGAUGUUUUAUGUGCUUUUUAUUAUUAGAUUAAAAUGUUUCUUCUUCAUUAGUAGUGAAGAUAAUAUAAGAUGAGCAGUUUUGCAGAAAAUUGCCUACUCCUGAGUCAAUAUCAUGGUGUUAGAAAAAGGCAGACAGUGCUGGGGGGUGUGUGAACCAGAUCCUUGUGUGCGAGACACGCUGAGAAUCGUGUCUGCUCGGCUUGGCUGGGUACAGCCAGACGGGGUCACAGCGUUUCCACAACGUAGGCAAAACUGAAUCUUGUGCUCUAUAGCACAAGGCCUGGCAGAGGACUGAUUCCUUGUGUCUCCAGGCUUUGAGGCAUAGAGUGGAUCAGUGCAAACUCUGAGGAUUAGAACAGUGACAAAGUGAGUGGGAAUUACUGCUUUUCUCUGCAGCUGUAAGUACCACACCUCUCCAAAGCAGCUUCCGCUCCACUCCAAGUCUCCUCAAGCCUGCCCUAGCAGGUCCAACACUUUGGUGGUUGUUGUAGAGACAAAGGAGAUCCAGGAUGUUGUUUAUAUUAGUUUUCAAACAGCUGAUUGUUUCCUACACCAGGAAGAAGGCAUGUGCAAUGUAGCAAACUCAUACAGGAAUUUGUCACCCCCUGCAGUUGUUCAUGCUGUCACAGCCUACUUUUUCUGUGUGUAAAAACCUACACCAGUGCUUUUCUGUGUCUGAAACAGGCCGUCAGCUAAAUUCUACUCACUCUGCUGCAGUUUAGGGGAGACAAUGAAUUCUAGAAUUGGGCAGAGAAACGAGGUCCAGGGUGAGUGUCUGUGAGAGAAACUGGAGAGUGGUAUUGCUAAGAGGAAAGGAGACCUAAUGGAUAGAACAGUUUUCAAGUAUUUAACAGACAACUGCCCAAAACAAGGAUAUAAAAUGUGAAUAGUCAAAAUAUUUGAUCUGAGACAGGAAAACAGACCUUCCAGAGCACUGGCAUAAAACUCUGUGUCAACCUGAUGUACUUGCAGUGCUGUGGAAGUGCUAGGAAGUAAAACCCAGUCUUCUGACUACUCACACUGUUUGUUGUAUACCAUAAAUAACAUGCAAACCCAGAAUAGCAUUCCGUACAUUAAAAAUGAGUUAGCCUUUCGAGAGCCUUUUCAUUUUAAAUUUUUUUGGGGUAAAUCUGUUGUGCUGUAAAUAAGGAUUUUUGAUAUGACAGUGUUCCUCUGGAAUAAUCUUUCCAAGAACAUUUCCAGGCAUACAUCUUAAGAAGAAAUAAUAUCUUCUUUUAAAUUACACAUCCUUGUAACUGUGGUUAAUCCACAGUUACACAAAUCAUAUCAUUACAGAUAUUUAAAAAUAUCUUGUCAAAGAGAUUGUUCAGAUCUUAAUCUUUCUGGUAGGCACCUGGAGUCCCCUUUUGCUUGUGCCCCUGUAUAUAGACAUCUUUUCUCCUUCUUCUCUGUAAAUCUUGCUGUGAGAACCCUUUCUUGUGUCUGUAAACAGUUCAGUACUAGAUACUUCCUUCUCUUACUGAUGCAUUUUCUAUUUUCCUUUUAUGUAACUAAUCUGCAAAAGCACUGCUUUCAUCUUUGCUGCUUAGGCUAAUCCUGCAUUUCUGGUACACUGUUUUCAUGCUCCAUUUUCUGUUGUGCUAUUAACAGGUACAAGUGCUUUGAGAUAACAGUGUAUCAAUGAAGAUCAGUGUAGCAACAUUUUGUGUUGAUAACAAUAUAAAUGAUACCUAAAUAAAAUGUUAAUGAGGAAAGGUAGACAUGGAAAUGGAGAUGACAGCUGUGUACAAGUUACAUGAGCAUAAGAAUAUUUACAAACUGAGUGAAAUCAUGACUUGUUUGAAGUUCAGGGGAAAUUUUGACAGUAAUUUUCAAUGGAGCCAGUACUCUGACUUUUCUUCUUUUUAGUCAUUUGACUUAUUUUUGGGUGAACUAAAUUUCUGUGGGAAAGAUAGCAAGGGAAACAAUUAGCAUCAUGCUUACAAAUCAAAUAGUGUUAUGCUCUCUAAGAUAGGUAACAUGUAACAAAGUGCAAUGAGCCUUAUUGUAAAAUGCACUGAAGUGUUAAACUUAAAAAGAAAUUUAUUGAUAAUUACAGAGACACAGAAUUCACAGACAGAUAAAAGCUAUGAGCUAUGAUAGCAAUAGGCAUGUUAGUAAUUAAUUGCUGUGACUUCGCUAUGCUGGAACAACUGUGCAGCUGAGCUCUAAGUUCAAUUGAGAAACUGAUCCACUUUAAAAGUGUUUCGAUAGGUAUUUUUAGCUCAUAAAUGUUUGGGUCCAUAUAUUUCCAUCUGGUGGCUGCAGGAUGAAUGAACAGGGGGCCAAUGGAGAAUGAGGAGGCCUGUAUUCCAGUAUUUCUUUGGAAAACAUCACCUCAGCAUCCCCGAGCUAAAUUCCCAUAAGGGCAUAAGAGCUUUUCUUACUUUUUGACUGCUGAACUUAGUACAUUAUCGUGAAUUUUGUACUCAUUUUUUAAAAUAAUGUUUGAGAACAGUAUCUUUCUGUAAUGCAUUUUAUAUUUUUUAUAUUUAAGUAUGUUUGAUUUGAAGGAAGAGACUUGCCUCUGAAGUGAACUAAAGGUUUGCAUUUGUCUGGAGUUUCAGUUGGUUUUUGUCUGUAGUGGUGUUUAGAUGUUUAGGUGUGUGCUGUGUGCUUCCUUGGCUGUUAAGAUACCAUGGUGCCUGCUGACAAGUGAGAUGGAUCCUUGUCAAAGGACAGAGGUUGUCAAAUAUUGCAGGUCUGUGUAACACUGCAAAUGUCACCUCGUGUGCGGGAAGUCCAUCUGUGCCAGUCCUGAAGUUUGGCACCAUGUGCCUCCAAACAGUUGAUCUCACCUGGCUGUUCAUGCACGUGUGUCAAAUAAUAGUGGAGGAAAGGGAAGCAUAAGGGUCAAGGACAGUGCACUGAGCACUUUGGAGACCCGUAUAAGAGGUACCCAAAUGUCAUUAGCUGGGAGCUAAUGGCAGCUCUCUCCUUGUCCAUUAGGUAAUAGAACCAGCCAGAAGUACUGAACCUCAACAAAGCGAGUUUGCAUUUAACAGAAAGAUUGUGAAAUUGCCCCAGUCUGUUGGAAAAACAAAGCCACAGCAUUGACUAAUUAGCAUAUAUAUAAACACAUAAAAUGACUAUUAACAUAUAAACCACUAAUACAUAAGUUAAUUUCAGUUGUAUGUGACAAUAGAAAAUAAAUUCAUACUUUCAUGUGUGAAAUUUCAUAAUUCCCAGGAUUUACCUUGCCUAACUCCACAUGCUUGAAUGUCAGGUCAGAUGAGUCCAGGUCUAAAGAAUGGGUUAGUGCAACCUGGUACUAAAUGUUGGGGGUUUUUUUAAGAGUCAGUUAGAUAAAUGUCUGACAGGAGUUUCUUAAUAAUAAUUGGCACUGUCCUGGGUUAGAGAGGUGGAUUCUUCAGCUACAUUUUGAAUGGUAAAAAUGGUCCAAGGCUUGUGGUUUUCUGUCAAGGCAGGAAAACCUGAAAGUAAAAAUGGCUAAAAAUAAGUUCAUUGUCCAAGCUGAGAAAACAUAGAUGAAAAUGAGAAUCAGGGGAAAGGAAGUUAGGCUUGAUUAUACUGUUUAUACUAUUUCAGUGAUUGAAAAGAUAUUAAGGGAAAUUCACAUGAGUAUAGAAAAUACUAUUCUAUAAUAGUAGAGGAAAAAAGGGAAGAACUAGUUGAGGGUGGUGCAGGGCCUACUUUAUACACUUUCUGCAGUGAUCUCUCACUUUUUAGCUAUUAUAAAGAAGAACAAAAUAAUAUUUCAUUGUGCAAAGUCAGCAUCAUAGAUUGGCCAGUAGAACAUCAGAUUACUUUGAUUUUGUUGCAUUUCAUUUGUAUAUUGUUUUGUUAUUGUUCUCACAAAACUGUUUUCAAUAUCAAAAAAGAAAAAACCUAUGUGGAAUAUAAAACUUCUGUUGUUAGCAUUUUCUCAGGAAGUGGGACAAUACAAAAAAACCAUGAAGAGAAAGCAGACUGCUGCAUGCUUUGCAGGUAACUUAUGGAAAAUGUAAGGUAAGUUUUAAUUUUACUUUGAAUCAGAUUGUACUUUUAAGUAAAGCUAUAGCAACUCCUAAAAAUAUACUAAGAUGCAUAUAAAUGUGCUGGAUAAAGAUGCAGAGUCAUUAAAAUGGAAAUUUAGA